GCACACAUGAUGUGAACAAAACAGUGUGAGAAACUGUGAUGUUGUAAACGCUUUCUGAUGUG
ensembl:snoRNA